rnacentral:rRNA from 1 species
UACGUAGGGGGCAAGCGUUGUCCGGAAUCAUUGGGCGUAAAGAGCGUGUAGGCGGCUCGGUAAGUCCGCUGUGAAAGUCCAGGGCUCAACCCUGGAAUGCCGGUGGAAACUGUCGAGCUCGAGUCCGGAAGAGGCGAGUGGAAUUCCUGGUGUAGCGGUGAAAUGCGCAGAUAUCAGGAGGAACACCAAUGGCGAAGGCGGCAUCCUGGACCGAGAUUGACGCUGAGGCGCGAAAGCCAGGGGAGCAAACGGG